rnacentral:lncRNA from 1 species
CCGCGGGGCUGGCAGCGCUGUCCCGUCUGACCGUCCCCGAUAAGAUCCAAGGUCGACGGAGGCUUCCUGCAAUAUUUCGCCUGAGCUGACCACUUGUUGUGCCGUGCCUAGAUUUGCCCUGCUCCGUCGCCCUUCACCUGCCCGUUUGACACGACCUCUGUCCCAGAGCCCCACGCACGAUGGGUUAGGAACGCCUGGACUUGGGAGGAGGGUUUCCAAACCUUUGCUUGCUGCAGAAUUUGGAAAGAGCUCAUGUAAUCUGCUACUUUAAUUGUAACAGAGGACAGGUGGAUAUGGCACAAGCACCUGGAAAGAGAAAAGGUAGAAAAGAGAUCUACUAUAGGUCAAAGACAA